rfam:Ophiophagus hannah scaffold2888.1, whole genome shotgun sequence.
GAAAAGGAUCUUUUCAGAUCCACAGAUGAUUAUUACUUCAGUAAAG